rnacentral:rRNA from 1 species
UGGGGAAUCUUGCGCAAAUGCGGGAAACCGUGACGCAGCGACGCCGCGUGGGGGAAGAAGGCCUUCGGGUUGUAAACCUCUUUCAGGAGGGACGAAGCUACUCGGGUUAAUAGCCCAGAGGGUGACGGUACCUCCAGAAGAAGCCCCGGCUAACUACGUGCCAGCAGCCGCGGUAAUACGUAGGGGGCAAGCGUUGUCCGGAUUUAUUGGGCGUAAAGAGCGUGUAGGCGGCUUGGUAGGUCCGCUGUGAAAACUCGAGGCUCAACCUCGAAAUGUCGGCGGAAACCACUUGGCUAGAGUCCGGAAGAGGAGAGUGGAAUUCCUGGUGUAGCGGUGAAAUGCGCAGAUAUCAGGAAGAACACCUAUGGCGAAGGCAGCUCUCUGGGACGGUACUGACGCUGAGACGCGAAAGCGUGGGGAGCGAACAGGAUUAGAUACCCUGGUAGUCCACGCCGUAAACGAUGGGUGCUAGGUGUGGGCGGUGUCGACUCCGUCCGUGCCGAAGCUAACGCAUUAA